GAUGAAGAACGUAGCGAAAUGCGAUAAGUAAUGUGAAUUGCAGAAUUCAGUGAAUCAUCGAAUCUUUGAACGCACCUUGCGCCCCUUGGUUGUUCCAAAGGGCAUGCCUGUUUGAGUAUCAUGAACACCUCAACUCUUGUGGUUUCCCACAAUGAGCUUGGACUGUGGAGGUUUUGUUGGCCCUGUGGUCAGCUCCUCUCAAAUGGAUCAGCUUACCGGUGUUUGGUGGCAUUACGGGUGUGAUAACUAUCUACGCUCGUGGUCGUCUCCAAAUAACCUCCAGUGAUGGAGGUUCGCUGGAGCUUAUAAAUGUCUCUCCCCAGUGAAGACAGCCUUUGAACGUUCGAUCUCAAAUCAGGUAGGACUACCCGCUGAACUUAAGCAUAUCAAUAAGCGGAGGA
rnacentral:misc_RNA from 1 species